CGUUGACCUAGGAAAUCGUGCAUGGCAGGAGCGAUCUUGUCCGGCCGUUGGCCAAUUAACGAUGCAUCGGGCCAACUCGUGCCAUCUCUCACGACAAGAACAGGGAUCGAUACAUGUGCCAGGUACGCCGGUGCCUUGACGAGGUGGCGUGGCGUGCCGCCGAGAAAUAUGGCGUGAAAGGAGUGUCUAGUUCGCCAGCGAGCCCACCAAAACACGCUAAAAGCCUAAAACCAUUAGCCUUUUUUUAGCUGUAAAACCAUGGACCUUGGACACUGGAGAAGUGAAACCCUGGUAAAGCCAAACCAAGUAGAACACCGGUAGCCGCCUCGUCGUAUGCUGGGAGGAUUCUUCCAAAAUACAAUGUGUUAUCCGCCUAAACGCGCCUAACCAAUCGUCACCUUCCAUGACUUCCCCGUCUUACGAAAGAUUAUUCACAAAUCCAUUUUUUUUCUUUUUUCUAUACCCGAAGCAUAUGCCUCACCUUCCGAAUUUCGUUCCAAUAUAUGUUUGGCCGUUGGGAUUGAGGUAAAUUGCAUAUCUCUCCUGGGGUUUGUGAGAUUUGUUGGUCUAUAUGAAAUUACAGAAAUCAUAAGUUUUCACAACGAAAAGUUUCUAAUUGUUUGCACGUUGUUCUUCGGACGUUUCCUUUGGCUUCGUAUUUGGUCCCUAUUGCUGACGGAGGGACAUGGGUUUAUGAAAUCUGUGUGGAACCAUUUGGAGAUGGUAACACAUGGAUUCUUCAUCCGUUUCGGGUGGCGGGCGCACCGGUCUUCGGCUUGAGGGCUUGUGGCGCAUGUUCGUUAUUUUCUCAUUUAUAAUAUUUGAGACUUGUACGUUGAAUAAUACUGUAAUAAUAUGAGGGACGUAUUCAUCGAUUGAUGCAGAGGCCUGGGGUUUCCCUCUUUUUUUAAAAAAAAUAGGCUCAUUUCAGGAUUGUUGAACCUUGUCGCAUGUUUUACAAUAUAUUAUAGAAAUAUAUUUGAAAAAUAUACAAAAGUUGGUUAGCGAGACUAUAAAACAGUCAAAAACACGUUGGUGAAAUGGGGGUAUGAGAAUCCACUGCAUGCAAUGCAACACCCCCUUCCCUCGCUUUCUCUCAAAAUCUUCUCAUCCUUUACUCGAUCUCUCUUUCUCUUAACCCUCUUUCCACUCUUUC
rnacentral:lncRNA from 1 species